UUAAGCUUAAAGUGAUUAACUAAGCUUAAAGUGAUUAACUAAGGAAUAUAAAAGAAAUACCUGGAAUGGUUCUUGCUAAGUCAAUCUGAAACCAGUCACAAUGAAGUUCCUAGUAUUCGUUAUUGUCGCCUUAGUGGCAGUUUUCUGGUCUCCAGUGGCCGCACAAUUUUGCGAACCACCAUACUCGUGUGUGAACCUCUGCGUGCUUGGUGCCGGACCUGGGAUCUGCCCAAGCGGACAGACCUGCUGCAGUCUGGGAUUAGGAGGAAAGUAAUAGACACAGGGCCAUUGCUAUAUAAGUUUGUCACCGAAUGGCUUAUUGAGUCAAACAGUCAAAAAAUAAAGUGCAGUAUAUAAAA